rnacentral:rRNA from 1 species
GCUCAGAACGAACGCUGGCGGCGCGUUUUAAGCAUGCAAGUCGAACGGUAGAGAAACUUCGGUUUCUUGAGAGUGGCGAACGGGUGAGUAACACGUAGAUGAUCUGCCUUGAAGUUGGGGAUAGCCUAUAGAAAUAUAGGGUAAUACCGAAUAAUUUUUUACCACUAUGGUGGUUUAAGGAAAGGGGGCUUCGGCCUCGCUUUAAGAUGAGUCUGCGGUCUAUUAGCUAGUUGGUAGGGUAAUAGCCUACCAAGGCGACGAUAGAUAGCCGGCCUGAGAGGGUGACCGGCCACAUUGGGACUGAGACACGGCCCAAACUCCUACGGGAGGCAGCAGCUAAGAAUCUUCCGCAAUGGGCGAAAGCCUGACGGAGCGACGCCGCGUGGACGAAGAAUGCCGAGAGGUUGUAAAGUCCUUUUAUUUGCGAAGAAUAAUGCCUGUAGGUAAUGACAGGCAGAUGACGUUAGCUUAUGAAUAAGCUCCGGCCAAUUACGUG